UUAUGAACACCCGAUCGGAUCUGUCAAGAACGAGCUG
rnacentral:sRNA from 1 species